rnacentral:rRNA from 1 species
GACGAACGCUGGCGGCGUGCCUAAUACAUGCAAGUCGAGCGCGGGAAGCUUGCGGAAUCUUUCGGGAGGAAGUGAGCGGACCGAGCGGCGGACGGGUGAGUAACACGUGGGCAACCUGCCCGUAAGACGGGGAUAACCCCGGGAAACCGGGGCUAAUACCGGAUAGGUGACCUUUCUGCAUGGAGGGGUCAUGAAAGGCGGCGGAAGCCGUCGCUUACGGAGGGGCCCGCGGCGCAUUAGCUAGUUGGUGAGGGAAGGGCUCACCAAGGCGACGAUGCGUAGCCGGCCUGAGAGGGUGAACGGCCACACUGGGACUGAGACACGGCCCAGACUCCUACGGGAGGCAGCAGUAGGGAAUCUUCCGCAAUGGACGGAAGUCUGACGGAGCAACGCCGCGUGAGUGAGGAAGGCCUUCGGGUCGUAAAGCUCUGUUGUUCGUGAAGAAGGGGUUGGCCAGGAA